rnacentral:rRNA from 1 species
GACGAACGCUGGCGGCGUGCUUAACACAUGCAAGUCGAACGGAAAGGCCCUGCUUUUGUGGGGUGCUCGAGUGGCGAACGGGUGAGUAACACGUGAGUAACCUGCCCUUGACUUUGGGAUAACUUCAGGAAACUGGGGCUAAUACCGGAUAGGAGCUCCUGCUGCAUGGUGGGGGUUGGAAAGUUUCGGCGGUUGGGGAUGGACUCGCGGCUUAUCAGCUUGUUGGUGGGGUAGUGGCUUACCAAGGCUUUGACGGGUAGCCGGCCUGAGAGGGUGACCGGCCACAUUGGGACUGCGAUACGGCCCAGACUCCUACGGGAGGCAGCAGUGGGGAAUAUUGCACAAUGGGCGGACGCCUGAUGCAGCAACGCCGCGUGCGUGAUGACGGCCUUCGGGUUGUAAACCGCUUUCGCCUGUGACGAAGCGUGAGUGACGGUAAUGGGUAAAGAAGCACCGGCUAACUACGUG